rnacentral:rRNA from 1 species
CCUACGGGAGGCAGCAGUGAGGAAUAUUGGACAAUGGAGGCAACUCUGAUCCAGCCAUGCCGCGUGCAGGAAGACUGCCCUAUGGGUUGUAAACUGCUUUUAUACAGGAAGAAUAGUACCUACGUGUAGGUAUUUGACGGUACUGUACGAAUAAGGAUCGGCUAACUCCGUGCCAGCAGCCGCGGUAAUACGGAGGAUCCAAGCGUUAUCCGGAAUCAUUGGGUUUAAAGGGUCCGUAGGCGGUCUGAUAAGUCAGAGGUGAAAUCCUGCAGCUCAACUGUAGCAUUGCCUUUGAUACUGUUAGACUUGAGUUAUUGUGAAGUAGUUAGAAUGUGUGGUGUAGCGGUGAAAUGCAUAGAUAUCACACAGAAUACCGAUUGCGAAGGCAGAUUACUAACAAUAUACUGACGCUGAGGGACGAAAGCGUGGGUAGCGAACAGGAUUAGAUACCCUGGUAGUCCACGCCGUAAACGAUGGAUACUAGCUGUUCGAUCAACAUUGGUUGGUUGAGUGGCUAAGCGAAAGUGAUAAGUAUCCCACCUGGGGAGUACGCUCGCAAGAGUGAAACUCAAAGGAAUUGACGG